CCUACGGGGCGCUGCAGUAGGGAAUAUUGCACAAUGAGGGAAACCCUGAUGCAGCGACGCCGCGUGCGCGAAGCAGUACCUCGGUUUGUAAAGCUCUAUCAGCAGGGAAGAAAGUGACAGUAACUGAAUAAGAAGCCCCGGCUAACUACGUGCCAGCAGCCGCGGUAAUACGUAGGGGGAGAGGGUUAACCGGAUUCACUGGGCGGAAAGGGAGCGCGGGCGGCGCGGCAAGUCUGAUUUGAAAGCCCGGGGCGCAACCCCGGGUCUGCAUUGGAAACUGGCUAGCUAGAGUGUUGGAGGGGUAAGUGGAAUUCCUAGUGGAGCGGUGGAAUGCGUAGAUAUUAGGAGGAACACCAGGGGCGAAGGCGGCUUACUGGA
rnacentral:rRNA from 1 species